ACAUGGGACCAGCAUAAAUCCUUUGUUCUAAUGGGCUGAAAACAAUAACAGAUAAAGUACAAGUCGACCAAAAUGUGAAAUCUAUCAAAAGAGCAAAUGAGAUUAUAUAGUACACUGAAACACAACGUACCAACUCAAAUUUAUGAGUGUUUAUGCACAUAGAGCAUAUUGUUGCCCACUAUAGAGAAUGAAAACAAAGAUGUACACCAAGACAUUAAAGAGUUAAAUAGAAAUAAUAUACUGUCAAAAUGAUCCUGCAAAAUCAGUAUACAAAUUCUAGAAUUAAUCACAUAGAUACUGUAUUAGUGUUGAUCCUAAUUUGCAUUACAACUAACACGUCAAGUACAGGUAGAGGAAAUAAUGUCCUGCUGAUAGGUUCUGUGAUUGACCCAAUGACUAAUUGUGGUUCUAGUCAAGAGGUAGAUCAAGGCAUAUCCCAUCAGUAGUUGGGAGAUGAACAGCAUGGAGGCCAUGGAUCAAAAUAGUGAAAUGGAUCAAAACUAUGGGCGUGGACAUGGAGAUUUGGAGAUGUAGAAUGCCCGUGCGUUGCCACAUGCAUUUUAAAAGUCUUCCUAGUUCAUCAUGAUCAUGUUCUACGGGACAAAAAUUCCGAUGUUUAUGGAUAUAUGAUAUUCCUCAUUGCAAUUAAUAUCACUAAAUUUCUCGAUCCACCAAACUGUACAAAAGUAAAUGAAUCUGAGUUGAGUGGAAUACGGAUCGAUCAAAUGAAUGAACAAACAAAUCGCGCACAUGUCGUUCAUUAGUUCUUCUCCGCCAGAAAAUGGAACCCAAUACGUUGUUGCUGCAAUAUUUCAUUGGUCCUCGGAACCCAUGAGCCUCCUCGCUAGUGCUAAGGAACCCUGUUUGGCCAUCACUUCCGCCGCCAGCUUUAACAUCACCACUUACAUGUCUCCGCUAGCUCUGCCAUGGUGCCAUGUCCACCAUCUUUCACUUUAUCGUACUCCCUCCGUCCCAAAAUUCUUGUCUUAGAUUUGUCUAGAUACGGAUGUAUCUCAGAUACAUCCGUAUCUAGACAAAUCUAAGACAAGAAUUUUGGGACGGAGGGAAUACAUUACUCACGUAACAUAAGUUCUAUUGUUCAAGCAUGCAUACCAUUCGUUAGAUCUAGUACAUCCAAGCAGUUGCGAUCCACCACUUUUCACAAUCCCCUCCCUCCGCGAGACGUCUCCUGCACUGCAUCAAAGACACUCCCACAUGCCCUCGUCCAAUGUAGGUUGUUGCCCCUGAGAGGCCUCCCUCACCUGCCAUAGAUCUCGCUGCAAGUCGCACCUCCCCAUGACCAAACUCCAUCAGAUAUACAAACACAUGCAGACAUGCUACACCUCGGUUACUAUGCUAGACGUGCAUAUAGUACGCUAAAUAUUUUGUUUCUAGUAUUUCCUUAUUUCUUUUGUAAAAAUAUUUGAAGCACCAUUAGAACACAAGAUAAAAUCCAAUAUAUCAAAUAUGUUAAAAUCCAGUAAAUAAUGUCAUUAAAGUAUAUACAAAUUUGCACUUCCAAUACACUGAACGAAAAAUGUACAUACAUCAACAUUCACUACCGCUUUCAACAAUGCUAGAACAUGAUCACUUGUUCGUCUUUCAGCAGACAAUCUUUGAGACCACUGGCGACCGGGGAGCUGCUGGAGAUCGCUCCUCAACUGGCUUAGCUGUUUGUUCAUCUAAAAAAGAAAAAGGGUUACCUUUCCGUUAAUUUUAGUCUUGCAGUUACAGUCCCACAAGUAUUUGUCACCUAUAUUUUCUCGUUUUUUUCAGUACCUUGUUUCAUAAUUAUCCUAUGUAUUUUCUUGAAGAGUGCAGGCUUAUUCUACACCAAUUCCCCUCCAUCCUCGAGUUACCUGGCCACCAUAGCUCCUCUCCUCCCUCUUGCCGCUCCAUGUGCUAGCGUUGAAAAUGCCAAAUUAUAUCGUGUCGUAUGUAGGUCUGAUAAUAACACAAAUACCUAAAAGCAAAGAAGAAAACCAAAGUGAAAUUGCUGGGAAAAUGUCAAGAAAUCACACACUGCUAGAUGAAUCAUAAGAAUAUAUGUACCCCAUUAUGUCUCAAAUCAUCAUAAUAUAGUGAUAGGUGAUGUAUAGGGAGAUAAAAGUCAUUGGCAAUAAUUAAUAAUCCUUACUGGUUAAAGAAAGAAAUUUUUAUGUUUAUGUGAUGUGAAGAAGAACUGAAGUCAUAUCAUCUCCUCUGCAUAACCAACUACUGGGUAGUGCUCUCUUUUCUAAGCUUGAUUAUCACAGGUUAAUCACUUGGGUGUUAUACUGCAAAGAAUUUUUUAUGCCUACGAGCUUGAGGUCCCAUCCCUGAUGACAGUCAAAUCCACUCAUUUCUUCUUAUAUCCCAUGGUUGUCGUGCAUCCUAAGUUCUGCCAUGAGGGCACUUGGUGUCGCGCCGCCAGGUAAACUGGAGGACUUGCACCACACUGGCGCGGCCCAUGUCUUCACGUCGACUGACGGAGAAGUGGUCGUUUGGGAGGUUACGUGUGAGGUGAAGCUUGCACUGCAAGAAAUCAAGAAAUGCCAUUUUUACAAGAAAUUCGUGAGUGGAUCCUUAGUUUUGCUUUGCAUUAGUAAUUGUUCAGCAUGUCUGUUGGGGAACGUAGCAGAAAUUCAAAAUUUUCCUACGUGUCACCAAGAUCUAUCUAUGGAGAGACCAGCAACGAGUAGAAAGAGAGUGCAUCUACAUACCCUUGUAGAUCGCUAAGUGGAAGCGUUCAAGUGAACGGGGUUGAUGGAGUCGUACUCGUCGUGAUUCAAGUCACCGAUGAUCCUAGUGCUGAACGGACGGCACCUCCGCGUUCAACACACGUACAGCCCGGUGACGUCUCCCACGCCUUGAUCCAGCAAGGAGAGAGGGAGAGGUUGAGGAAGACUCCAUCCAACAGCAGCACAACGGCGUGGUGGUGGUGGAGGAGCGUGGCAAUCCAGCAGGGCUUCGCCAAGCACCAUCGGAGAGAAGGAGUAGGAAGAGAGGUAGGGCUGUGCCAGAACUUCGUGUAUAGCUCCCAUGCGCCUCCCCACUAUAUAUAGGGGUGGAAGGGCUGGUUUCUUGCCCUCCAAGUCCAUUGGGGCGUUGGCCAAGGUGGGAGGAAAGAAAUCUCAUUAUUUCCUUCCCCACCGAUUGUUAUCCCCCCUUUUUAGGGAUCUUGAUCUUAUCCCUUCGGGAUAUGAUCUUAUUCCUUCUAAGGGGGGAUCUUGGUGCGCCUUGACCAGGGGUGUGGGGCCUUGCCCCCACUACCCACGUCCAUGUGGGUCCCCUCAUGCAGGUGGGCCCCACUCCGGAACCUUCUAGAACCUUCCCGGUACAAUACCGAAAAAUCCCGAACAUUUUCCGGUGGCCAAAAUAGGACUUCCCAUAUAUAAAUCUUUACCUCCGGACCAUUCCGGAACUCCUCGUGACGUCCGGGAUCUCAUCCGGGACUCCGAACAACAUUCGGUAACCACAUACAAACUUCCUUUAUAACCCUAGCGUCAUCGAACCUUAAGUGUGUAGACCCUACGGGUUCGGGAGACAUGUAGACAUGACCGAGACGUUCUCCGGUUAAUAACCAACAGCGGGAUCUGGAUACCCAUGAUGUCUCCCACAUGUUCCACGAUGAUCUCAUCGGAUGAACCACGAUGUCAAGGACUUAAUCAAUCCCGUAUUCAAUUCCCUUUGUCUAUCGGUAUGUUACUUGCCCGAGAUUCGGUCGUCGGUAUCCAAUACCUUGUUCAAUCUCGUUACCGGCAAGUCACUUUACUCGUUCCGUAACACAUCAUCCCUGAUCAACUCCUUGGUCACAUUGCGCAUAUGAUGAUGUCCUACCGAGUGGGCCCAGAGAUACCUCUCCGUUUACACGGAGUGACAAAUCCCAGUCUCGAUCCGCAUAAAACAAUAGAUACUUUCGGAGAUACCUGUAGUGCACCUUUAUAGUCACCCAGUUACGUUGUGACGUUUGAUACACCCAAAGCACUCCUACGGUAUCCAGGAGUUACACGCUCUCAUGGUCGAAGGAAGAGAUACUUGACAUUGGCAAAGCUCUAGCAAAUGAACUACACGAUCUUUUGUGCUAGUCUUAGGAUUGGGUCUUGUCCAUCACGUCAUUCUCCUAAUGAUGUGAUCCGGUUAUCAACGACAUCCAAUGUCCAUAGCCAGGAAACCAUGACUAUCUGUUGAUCACAACGAGCUAGUCAACUAGAGGCUCACUAGGGACAUAUUGUGGUCUAUGUAUUCACACGUGUAUUACGAUUUCCGGAUAAUACAAUUAUAGCAUGAAUAAAAGACAAUUAUCAUGAACAAGGAAAUAUAAUAAUAAUACUUUUAUUAUUGCCUCUAGGGCAUAUUUCCAACAGUCUCCCACUUGCACUAGAGUCAAUAAUCUAGUUCACAUCGCCAUGUGAUUAACACUCACAGGUCACAUCGCCAUGUGACUAAUACCCAAGAGUUUACUAGAGUCAGUAGUCUAGUUCACAUCACUAUGUGAUUAACACUCAAUGAGUUUUAUGUUUGAUCAUGUUGCUUGUGAGAGAGGUUUUAGUCAACGGGUCUGAACCUUUUAGAUCCGUGUGUGCUUUACAAAUCUCUAUGUCAUCUCCUAGAUGCAGCUACUAUGCUCUAUUUGGAGCUAUUCCAAACAACUGUUCUACUUGGAGCUAUUCUAAAUUAUUGCUCCAUUAUAUGUAUCCGGUCUCUCUACUCAGAGCUAUCCGGAUAGGUGUCAAGCUUGCAUCGUCGUAACCUUUACGACAAACUCUUUUACCACCUCCAUAAUCGAGAAAAUUCCUUAGUCCACUAGUUACUAAGGAUAACUUUGACCGCUGUCCUGUGAGCCAUUCUUGGAUCACUCUUGUACCCCUUGAUUGACUCAUGGCAAGGCACACUUCAGGUGCGGUACACAACAUAGCAUACUGAAGAGCCUACGUCUUAAGCAUAGGGGACGACCUUCGUCCUUUCUCUCUAUUUUGCCGUGGUCGAGCUUUAAGUCUUAACUUCGUACCUUACAACUCAGGCAAGAACUCCUUCUUUGACUGGUCCAUCUUGAACACCUUCAAGAUCAUGUCAAGGUAUGUGCUCAUUUGAAAGUAUUAUUAAGCAUUUUGAUCUAUCCUUAUAGAUCUUGAUGCUCAAUGUUCAAGUAGCUUAAUCCAGGCUUUCCAUUGAAAAACACUUUCAAAAUAACCCUAUAUGCUUUCCAGAAAUUCUACGUCAUUUCUGAUCAACAAUAUGUCAACAACAUAUACUCAUCAGAAAUUCUAUAGUGCUCCCACUCACUUCUUUGGAAAUACAAGUUUCCCAUAAACUUUGUACAAACCCAAAUUUUUUGAUCAUCAUCAAAGCAUAGGUUCCAACUCCGAGAUGCUCACUCCAGUCCUUAGAAGGAUUGCUGGAGCUUUGCAUACUUAUUAGCAUCUUUCGGGAUUGACAAAACCUUCCGGUUGUAUCACAUACAACCUUUCCUCAUUAAAAUCGUCGAGGAAACAAUGUUUUGACAUCCUAUCUGCAAGAUUUCAUAAAUAAUGCAGUAAUCGCUAAUAUAAUUCCAACAGACUCUUAGCAUCGCUACGAGUGAGAAAAUCUCAUCGUAGUCAACUCCUUGAACUUGUCGGAAAACAUCUUAACGACAAGUCGAGCUUUCUUAAUGGUGACAUUUACCAUCAUUGUCCGUCUUCCUUUUGAAAUCCAUCUGUACUCAUUAGCCUUACGACCAUCGAGCCGUUCUGCCAAAGUCUACACUUUGUUUUCAUACAUGGAUCCUCUCUCGGAUUUUAUGGCCUCAAGCCAUUUAUCGGAAUCCGGGCCCACCAUCGCUUCUCCAUAGCUCGUAGGUUCAUUGUUGUCUAGCAACAUGACCUUCAAGACAGGAUUACGUACCACUCUGAAGUAGUACGCAUCAUUGUCAUCCUACGAGGUUUGGGAGUGACUUGAUCUGAAGUUUCAUGAUCAAUAUCAUAAGCUUCCACUUCAAUUGGUGUAGGUGCCACAGGAACAACUCCCUAUGCCCUGUCACACUAGUUGAAGAGACGGUUCAAUAACCUCAUCAAGUCUCCACCAUCCUCCCACUCAAUUCUUUCGAGAGAAACUUUUCCUCGAGAAAGGACCCGAUUCUAGAAACAAUCCAUAUUGCUUUCGGAUCUGAAUUAGGAGGUAUACCCAACUGUUUUGGGUUUCCUAUGAAGAUGCAUUUUAUCCGCUUUGGGUUCGAGCUUAUCAACCUGAAACUUUUUCAUAUAAGCGUCGCAGCCCCAAACUUUUAAGAAACGACAACUUAGGUUUCUCUAAACCAUAAUUCAUACGGUGUCAUCUCAUCGGAAUUACGUGGUGCCCUAUUUAAAGUGAAUGUGGUUGUCUCUAAUGCCUAACCCAUGAACGAUAGUGGUAAUUCGAUAAGAGACAUCAUGGUACGCGCCAUAUCCAAUAGGGUGCAACUAUGAUGUUCGGACACACCAUCACAUUAUGGUGUUCCAGGCGGUAUUAAUUGCGAAACAAUUUCCACAAUGUCUUAAUUGUGUGCCAAAACUCGUAACUCAGAUAUUCAUCUCUAUGAUCAUAUCAUAGACAUUUUAUCCUCUUGUCACAAUGAUCUGCUACUUCACUCUGAAAUUACUUGAACCAUUCAAUAAUUCAGACUUGUGUUUCAUCAAGUAAAUAUACUCAACAUUUACUCGAAUCAUCGGUGAAGUAAGAACAUAAUGAUAUUCACUGCAUGCCUCAGCACUCAUUCGACUGCACACAUCAAAAUGUGUUACUUCCAACAAGUUGCUAUCUUGUUCCAUCUUACUGAAAAUGAGGCUUUUCAGUCAUCUUGCCCAUGUGGUAUGAUUUGCAUAUCUCAAGUGAUUCAAAUUCAAGUGAGUCCGAACGAUCCAUUUGCAUGGAGUUUCUUCAUGCAUAUACACCAAUAGACAUGGUUCGCAUGUCUCAAACUUUUCAAAAACGAGUGAGUCCAAAGAUCCAUCAACAUGGAGCUUCUUCAUGCGUUUUAUACCAUUAUGACUUACAUGGCAGUGCCACAAGUAAGUGGUACUAUCAUUACUAUCUUAUAUCUUUUGGCAUGAAAAUGUGUAUCACUACGACCGAGAUUCAAUAAACAAUUCCUUUAGGUGCAAGACCAUUGAAGGUAUUAUUCAAAAAUAGAGUAACCAUUAUUCUCCUUAAAUGAAUAACCGUAUUGCGAUAGACAUAAUCCAAUCAUGUCUAUGCUCAACGCAAACACCAAUCUCGGUGGUAGAGGGAGCGUGCGAUGCUUGAUCAUAUCAACCUUGGAAACACUUCCAACAUAUAUCGUCAGCUCACCUUUAGCUAGUCUCCGUUUAUUCCGUAGCUUUUAUUUCGAGUUACUAACACUUAGCAACCGAACCGGUAUCCAAUACCCUGGUGCUACUAGGAGUACUAGUAAAGUACACAUUAACAUAAUGUAUAUCCAAUAUACUUCUAUCGACCUUGCCAGUCUUCUCAUCUACCAAGUAUCUAGGGUAAUGCUGCUCCAGUGGUUGUUCCCCUUAUUACAGAAGCACUUAGUCUCGGGUUUGGGUUCAACCUUGGGUUUCUUCACUAGAGCAGCAGCUGAAUUGCCGUUUCAUGAAGUAUCCCUUUGUUCCCUUGCCCUUCUUGAAACUAGUGGUUUCACCAACCAUCAACAAUUGAUGCUCCUUCUUGAUUUCUACUUUCGCGGUGUCAAACAUCAUGAAUAUUUCAAGGAUCAUCAUAUCUAUCCCUGAUAUGUUAUAGUUAAUCACGAAGCUCUAGCAGCUUGGUGGCAAUGACUUUGGGGAAACAUCACUAUCUCAUCUGGAGGAUCAACUCCCACUCGAUUCAAGUGAUUGUUGUGCUCAGACAAUCUGAGCACAAGCUCAACGAUUGAGCUUUUCUCCCUUAGUUUGCAGGCUAAGAAAAUCGUCGGAGGUCUUAUACCUCUUGACGUGGGCACGAGCCUGAAAUCCCAAUUUCAGCCCUCAAAACAUCUCAUAUGUUCCGCGACGUUUCGAAAACGUCUUUGGUGUCUCUACUUAAACCAUUUAACUGAACUAUCACGUAGUUAUCAAAACGUGUAUGUUCGAUGUUCGAAACAUCCACAAACGACGUUUGGGGUUCAGCACACUGAGCAGUGCAUUAAGGACAUAAGCUUUCUACUGUUCGCAUAAUCGCUACUAUCAACUUUCAACUAUAUUUUCUCUAGGAACAUAUCUAAACAGUGGAACUAAAGCACGAGCUUACGACAUAAUUUGCAAAAGGUCUUUUGACUAUGUUCAGGAUAAUUAAGUUCAUCUUAUGAACUCCCACUUAGAUAGACAUCCCUCUGGUCAUCUAAGUGAUCACAUGAUCCGAGUCAACUAGGCCGUGUCCGAUCAUCACGUGAGACGGACUAGUCAUCAUCGGUGAACAUCUUCAUGUUGAUCGUAUCUACCAUACGACUCAUGCUCGACCUUUCGGUCUCCGUGUUCCGAGGCCAUGUCUGCACAUGCUAGGCUCGUCAAGUUAACCCUAAGUGUUUUCGCUGUGUAAAACUGUCUUACACCCGUUGUAUGUGAACAUAAGAAUCCAUCACACCCGAUCAUCACGUGGUGCUUAGAAGCGACGAACUGUAGCAACGGUGCACAGUUAGGGGAGAACACUUCUUGAAAUUUUGUAAGGGAUCAUCUUAUUUACUACCGUCGUCCUAAGCAAACAAGAUGCAUAAACAUGAUAAACAUCACAUGCAAUCAAAUAGUGACAUGAUAUGGCCAAUAUCAUUUUGCUCCUUUUGAUCUUCAUCUUCGGGGCUCCAUGAUCAUCAUCGUCACCGGCACGACACCAUGAUCUCCAUCAUCAUGAUCUCCAUCAUCGUGUCUUCAUGAAGUUGUCACGCCAACGACUACUUCUACUUCUAUGACUAACGCGUUUAGCAAUAAAGUAAAAUAGUUUACAUGGCGUUCUUGAAUGACACGCAGGUCAUACAAUAAAUAAAGACAACUCCUAUGGCUCCUGCCGGUUGUCAUACUCAUCGACAUGCAAGUCGUGAAUCCUAUUACAAGAACAUGAUCAAUCUCAUACAUCACAUAUCAUUCAUCACAUUCUUCUUGGCCAUAUCACAUCACAUAGCAUACCCUGCAAAAACAAGUUAGACGUCCUCUAAUUGUUGUUGCAUGUUUUACGUGGCUGCUAUGGGUUUCUAGCAAGAACGUUUCUUACCUACGCAAGACCACAACGUGAUAUGCCAAUUGCUAUUUACCCUUCAUAAGGACCCUUUUCAUCGAAUCCGUUCCGACUAAAGUGGGAGAGACUGGCACCCGCUAGCCACCUUAUGCACCAAGUGCAUGUCAAUCGGUGGAACCUCUCUCACGUAAGAGUACGUGUAAGGUCGGUCCGGGCCGCUUCAUCCCACAAUACCGUCGAAACAAGAUUGGACUAGUAACGGUAAGCAUAUUGAACAACAUCAACGCCCACAACUACUUUGUGUUCUACUCGUGCAAAGAAUCUACGCAAUAGACCUAGCUCUGAUACCACUGUUGGGGAACGUAGCAGAAAUUCAAAAUUUUCCUACGUGUCACCAAGAUCUAUCUAUGGAGAGACCAGCAACGAGUAGAAAGAGAGUGCAUCUACAUACCCUUGUAGAUCGCUAAGCGGAAGCGUUCAAGUGAACAGGGUUGAUGGAGUCAUACUCGUCGUGAUUCAAGUCACCGAUGAUCCUAGUGCCGAACGGACGGUGUUGGGGAACGUAGCAGAAAUUCAAAAUUUUCCUACGCGUCACCAAGAUCUAUCUAUGGAGAAACCAGCAACGAGUAGAAAGAGAGUGCAUCUACAUACCCUUCUAGAUCGCUAAGCGGAAGCGUUCAAGUGAACGGGGUUGAUGGAGUCGUACUCGUCGUGAUUCAGAUCACCGAUGAUCCUAGUGCCGAACGGACGGCACCUCCGCGUUCAACACACGUACAGCUCGACGAUGUCUCCCACGCCUUGAUCCAGCAAGGAGAGAGGGAGAGGUUGAGGAAGACUCCAUCCAGCAGCAGCACAACGGCGUGGUGGUGAUGGAGGAGCGUGGCAAUCCUGCAGGGCUUCGCCAAGCACCUACGGGAGAGGAGGAGGUGUCACGGGAGGGAGGGAGGCGCCAAGGGCUCAGGUAUGGAUGCCCUCCCUCCCCUCCACUAUAUAUAGGGGCAGGGGAGAGGGGGAAGGCGCAGCCUUGCCCCUUCCUCCAAGGAAGGGGUGCGGCUAAGAGGGGGGGAGGAGUCCAUCCUCCCCAAGGCACCUCGGAGGUGCCUUCCCCCUUGAGGACUCUUCCCUCUAGGGUUCCCUAGGCGCAUGGGCCUCUUGGGGCUGGUGCCCUUGGCCCAUGUAGGCCAAGGCGCACCCCCUACAGCCCAUGUGGCCCCCCGGGGCAGGUGGCCCCACCCGGUGGGCCCCCGGGACCCUUCCGGUGGUCCCGGUACAAUACCGAUGACCCCGAAACUUGUCCCGAUGGCCGAAACAGGACUUCCUAUAUAUAAAUCUUUACCUCCGGACCAUUCCGGAACUCCUCGUGACGUCCGGGAUCUCAUCCGGGACUCCGAACAACAUUCGGUAACCACAUACAAACUUCCUUUAUAACCCUAGCGUCAUCGAACCUUAAGUGUGUAGACCCUACGGGUUUGGGAGACAUGCAGACAUGACCGAGAUGUUCUCCGGUCAAUAACCAACAGCGGGAUCUGGAUACCCAUGUUGGCUCCCACAUGUUCCACGAUGAUCUCAUCGGAUGAACCACGAUGUCAAGGACUCAAUCGAUCCCGUAUACAAUUCCCUUUGUCUAGCGGUAUGGUACUUGCCCGAGAUUCGAUCGUCGGUAUACCGAUACCUUGUUCAAUCUCGUUACCGGCAAGUCUCUUUACUCGUUCCGUAACACAUCAUCCCGUGAUCAACCCCUUGGUCACAUUGUGCACAUUAUGAUGAUGUCCUACCGAGUGGGCCCAGAGAUACCUCUCCGUUUACACGGAGUGACAAAUCCCAAUCUCGAUUCGUGCCAACCCAACAGACACUUUCAGAGAUACCCGUAGUGUACCUUUAUAGCCACCCAGUUACGUUGUGACGUUUGGCACACCCAAAGCACUCCUACGGUAUCCGGGAGUUGCACAAUCUCAUGGUCUAAGGAAAUGAUACUUGACAUUAGAAAAGCUUUAGCAUACAAACUACAUGAUCUUGUGCUAGGCUUAGGAUUGGGUCUUGUCCAUCACAUCAUUCUCCUAAUGAUGUGAUCCCGUUAUCAACGACAUCCAAUGUCCAUGGUCAGGAAACCGUAACCAUCUAUUGAUUAAUGAGCUAGUCAACUAGAGGCUUACUAGGGACAUGGUGUUGUCUAUGUAUCCACACAUGUAUCUGAGUUUCCUAUCAAUACAAUUCUAGCAUGGAUAAUAAACGAUUAUCAUGAACAAGGAAAUAUAAUAAUAAUCAAUUUAUUAUUGCCUCUAGGGCAUAUUUCCAACAGUCUCCCACUUGCACUAGAGUCAAUAAUCUAGUUCACAUCGAUAUGUGAUUAACACUCAAGGUCACAUCCCCAUGUGACUAAUACCCAAAGAGUUUACUAGAGUCAAUAAUCUAGUUCACAUUUACCAUGUGAUUAACACUCGAUGAGUUCUGGGUUUGAUCAUGUUAUGCUUGUGAGAGAGGUUAUAGUCAACGGGUCUGAACCUUUCAGAUCCGUGUGUGCUUUACAAAUCUCUAUGUCAUCUCCUAGAUGCAGCUACCACGUUCUAUUUGGAACUAUUCCAAAUAACUGUUCUACUUGGAGCUAUUCUAAAUUGUUGCUCCAUUAUACGUAUCCGGUAUCUCUACUCAGAGCUAUCCGGAUAGGUGUUAAGCUUGCAUCGACGUAACCCUUUACGACGAACUCUUUUACCACCUCCAUAAUUGAGAAAAUUCCUUAGUCCACUAGUUACUAAGGAUAACUUUGACCGCUGUCCUGUGAUCCAUUCUUGGAUCACUCUUGUACCCCUUGACUGACUCAUGGUAAAGCACACUUCAGGUGCGGUACACAGCAUAGCAUACUGUAGAGCCUAUGUCUUAAGCAUAGGGGACGACCUUCGUUCCUUUCUCUCUAUUCUGCCAUGGUCGAGCUUUAAGUCUUAACUUCAUACCUUACAACUCAGGCAAGAACUCCUUCUUUGACUGAUCCAUCUUGAACACCUUCAAGAUCACGUCAAGGCAUGUGCUCACGUCAAGAUCACGUCGGUAUACCGAUACCUUGUUCAAUCUCGUUACCGGCAAGUCUCUUUACUCGUUCCGUAACACAUCAUCCCGUGAUCAACCCCUUGGUCACAUUGUGCACAUUAUGAUGAUGUCCUACCGAGUGGGCCCAGAGAUACCUCUCCGUUUACACGGAGUGACAAAAUCCCAAUCUCGAUUCGUGCCAACCCAACAGACACUUUCAGAGAUACCCGUAGUGUACCUUUAUAGCCACCCAGUUACGUUGUGACGUUUGGCACACCCAAAGCACUCCUACGGUAUCCGGGAGUUGCACAAUCUCAUGGUCUAAGGAAAUGAUACUUGACAUUAGAAAAGCUUUAGCAUACGAACUACAUGAUCUUGUGCUAGGCUUAGGAUUGGGUCUUGUCCAUCACAUCAUUCUCCUAAUGAUGUGAUCCCGUUAUCAACGACAUCCAAUGUCCAUGGUCAGGAAACCGUAACCAUCUAUUGAUUAACGAGCUAGUCAACUAGAGGCUUACUAGGGACAUGGUGUUGUCUAUGUAUCCACACAUGUAUCUGAGUUUCCUGUCAAUACAAUUCUAGCAUGGAUAAUAAACGAUUAUCAUGAACAAGGAAAUAUAAUAAUAAUCAAUUUAUUAUUGCCUCUAGGGCAUAUUUCCAACAGUCUCCCACUUGCACUAGAGUCAAUAAUCUAGUUCACAUCGAUAUGUGAUUAACACUCAAGGUCACAUCCCCAUGUGACUAACACCCAAAGAGUUUACUAGAGUCAAUAAUCUAGUUCACAUUUACCAUGUGAUUAACACUCGAUGAGUUCUGGGUUUGAUCAUGUUAUGCUUGUGAGAGAGGUUAUAGUCAACGGGUCUGAACCUUUCAGAUCCGUGUGUGCUUUACAAAUCUCUAUGUCAUCUCCUAGAUGCAGCUACCACGUUCUAUUUGGAGCUAUUCCAAAUAACUGUUCUACUUGGAGCUAUUCUAAAUUGUUGCUCCAUUAUACGUAUCCGGUCUCUCUACUCAGAGCUAUCCGGAUAGGUGUUAAGCUUGCAUCGACGUAACCCUUUACGACGAACUCUUUUACCACCUCCAUAAUUGAGAAAAUUCCUUAGUCCACUAGUUACUAAGGAUAACUUUGACCGCUGUCCUGUGAUCCAUUCUUGGAUCACUCUUGUACCCCUUGACUGACUCAUGGUAAAGCACACUUCAGGUGCGGUACACAGCAUAGCAUACUGUAGAGCCUAUGUCUUAAGCAUAGGGGACGACCUUCAUUCCUUUCUCUCUUUUCUGCCAUGGUCGAGCUUUAAGUCUUCACUUCAUACCUUACAACUCAGGCAAGAACUCCUUCUUUGACUGAUCCAUCUUGAACACCUUCAAGAUCACGUCAAGGCAUGUGCUCAUUUGAAAGUACUAUUAAGCGUUUUGAUCUAUCCUUAUAGAUCUUGAUGCUCAAUGUUCAAGUAGCUUAAUCCAGGUUUUCCAUUGAAAACACUUUCCAAAUAACCCUAUAUGCUUUCCAGAAAUUCUACGUCAUCUCCGAUCAUUAAUAUGUCAACAACAUAUACUCAUCAGAAAUUCUAUAGUGCUCCCACUCACUUCUUUGGAAAUACAAGUUUCUCAUAAACUUUGUAUACACCCAAAAUCUUUGAUCAUCAUCAAAGCAUACAUUCCAACUCCGAGAUGCUCACUCCAGUCCUCAGAAGGAUUGCUGGAGCUUUGCAUACUUAUUAGCAUAUUUCAGGAUAGACAAAACCUUCCGGUUGUAUCACAUACAACCUUUCCUCAAGAAUCGUUGAGGAAAGAAUGUUUUGACAUCCUAUCUGCAAGAUUUCAUAAAUAAUGCAGUAAUCGCUAAUAUAAUUCCAACAGACUCUUAGCAUCGCUACGAGUGAGAAAGUCUCAUCGUAGUCAACUCCUUGAACUUGUCGAAAAACAUCUUAACGACAAGUCGAGCUUUCUCAAUGGUGACACUUACCAUCAUUGUCUGUCUUCCUUUCAAAAUCCAUAUGUACCUAACAGCCUUACGACCAUCAAGUAGUUCUUCUAAAGUCUACACUUUGUUUUCAUACAUGGAUCCUCUCUCGGGUUUUAUGGCCUUGAGCCAUUUAUCGGAAUCCGGGCCCACCAUCUCUUCUCCAUAGCUCGUAGGUUCAUUGUUGUCUAGCAACAUGACUUCCAAGACAGGAUUACUGUACUACUCUGAAGUAGUACGUAUCCUUGUCACCCUAUGAGGUUCGGUAGUGACUUGAUCCGAAACUUCAUGAUCACCAUCAUAAGCUUCCACUUCAAUUGGUGUAGGUGCCACAGGAACAACUUCCUGUGCCCUGCUACACACUUGUUGAAGUGACGGUUCAAUAACCUCAUCAAGUCUCCACCAUCCUCCCACUCAAUUCUUUCGAGAGAAACCUUUCCUCGAGAAAGGACCCGAUUCUAGAAACAAUUCAUAUUGCUUUCGGAUCUGAAUUAGGAGGUAUACCCAACUGUUUUGGGUUUACUAUGAAGAUGCAUUUUAUCCGCUUUGGGUUCGAGCUUAAUCCUGAAACUUUUUCACAUAAGCGUCGCAGCCCCAAACUUUCAAGAAACGGCAACUUAGGUUUCUCCAAACCAUAGUUCAUACGGUGUCGUCUCAACGAAAUUAUGUGGUGCCCUAUUUAAAGUGAAUGUGGUUGUCUUUAAUGCCUAACCCAUGAACGAUAGUGGUAACUCGAUAAGAGACAUCAUGGUAUGCACCAUAUCCAAUAGGGUGCAACUAUGACGUUUGGACACACCAUCACACUAUGGUGUUCCAGGCUGUAUCAGUUGUGAAACAAUUUCCACAAUGUCUUAAUUAUGUGCCAAACUCGUGAUUCAGAUAUUCAUCUCUAUGAUCAUAUCAUAGAUCUUUUAUCCUCUUGUCACGACGAUCUUUCAACUUCACACUGAAAUUACUUGAACCUUUCAAUAAUUCAGACUCGUGAUUCAUCAAGUAAAUAUACUCAACAUCUACUCGAAUCAUCUGUGAAGUAAGAACAUAACGAUAUUCACUGUAUGCCUCAGCACUCAUUGGACUGCACACAUCAAAAUGUGUUACUUCCAAUAAGUUGCUAUCUUGUUCCAUCUUACUGAAAACGAGGCUUUUCAGUCAUCUUGCCCAUGUGGUAUGAUUUGCAUGUCCCAAGUGAUUCAAAAUCAAGUGAGUCCAAACGAUCCAUCUGCAUGGAGUUUCUUCAUGCGUAUACACCAAUAGACAUGGUUCGCAUGUCUCAAACUUUUCAAAAAUGAGUGAGUCCAAAGAUCCAUCAACAUGGAGCUUCUUCAUGCGUUUUAAACCAAUAUGACUUACAUGGCAGUGCCACCAGUAAGUGGUACUAUCAUUACUACCUUUUGGCAUGAAAAUGUGUAUCACUACGAUCGAGAUUCAAUCAACCAUUCAGGUUUAAUGCUAAUCUUGAUGGUAGAGGGAGUGUGCGAUGUUUGAUUACAUCAAACUUGGAAACACUUCCAACAUAUAUCGUCAGCUCACUUUUAGCUAGUCUCCAUUUAUUCCGUAGCCUUUUGUUUCGAGUUACUAACACUUAGCAACCGAACCGGUAUCUAAUACCCUGGUGCUACUAGGAGUACUAGCAAAGUACACAUUAACACAAUGUAUAUCCAAUAUACUUCUAUCGACCUUGCCAGCCUUCUUAUCUACCAAGUAUCUAGGGUAAUUCUGCUCUAGUGGUUGUUCCCCUUAUUACAGAAGCACUUAGUCUCAGGUUUGGGUUUUACCUUGGGUUUCUUCACUAGAGCAGCAGCUGAUUUGCCGUUUCAUGAAGUAUCCCUUCUUGCCCUUGCCCUUCUUGAAACUAGUGGUUUCACCAACCAUCAACAAUUGAUGCUCCUUCUUGAUUUCUACUUUCGCGGUGUCAAACAUCGCGAAUACCUCAAGGAUCAUCAUAUCUAUCCCCGAUAUGUUAUAGUUCAUCACGAAGCUCUAACAGCUUGGUGGCAAUGACUUUGGAGAACCAUCACUGUCUUAUCUGGAAGAUCAACUCCCACUCGAUUCAAAUGAUUGUUGUACUCAGACAAUCUGAGCACAAGCUCAACGAUUGAGCUUUUCUCCCUUAGUUUGCAGGCUAAGAAAAUCGUCGGAGGUCUUAUACCUCUUGACAUGGGCACGAGCCUAAAAUCCCAAUUUCAGCCCUCGAAACAUCUCAUAUGUUUCGCGAUGUUUCAAAAACAUCUUUGGUGCCUCAACUCUAAACCGUUUAACUGAACUAUCAUGUAGUUAUCAAAACGUGUAUGUCAGAUGUUCGCAACAACCACAGACAACGUUCGAGGUUCAGCACACUGAGCGGUGCAUUAAGGACAUAAGCCUUCUAUGAAGCAAUGAGGACAAUCCUCAGUUUACGGACCUAGUCCGCAUAAUUGCUACUAUCAACUUUCAACUAAUUUUUCUCUAGGAACAUAUCUAAACAGUAGAACUAUAACAUGAGCUACGACAUAAUUUGCAAAAACCUUUUGACUAUGUUCAGGAUAAUUAAGUUCAUCUUAUGAACUCCCACUCAGAUAGACAUCCCUCUAGUCAUCUAAGUGAUUACAUGAUCCGAGUCAAACUAGGCCGUGUCCGAUCAUCACGUGAGACGGACUAGUCAUCAUCGGUGAACAUCUUCAUGUUGAUCGUAUCUUCUAUACGACUCAUGUUCGACCUUUCGGUCUUCGUGUUCCGAGGCCAUGUCUGUACAUGCUAGGCUCGUCAAGUUAACCCUAAGUGUUUUGCAUGUGUUCCGAGGCCAUGUCUGUACAUGCUAGGCUCGUCAACAACCGUUGUAUUUGAACGUCUGAAUAAAACACCCGAUCAUCACGUGAUGUUUUGAAACAGCGAACUGUCGCAACGGUGCACAGUUAGGGGAGAACACUUCUUGAAAUUGUUGUAAGGGAUCAUCUUAUUUACUACCGUCGUUCUAAGCAAAUAAGAUGUAUAAACAUGAUAAACAUCACAUGCAAUCAAAUAGUGACAUGAUAUGGCCAUCAUCACUUUGCUCCUUUUGAUCUCCAUCUUCGGGGCUCCAUGAUCAUCAUCGUCACCGGCAUGACACCAUGAUCUCCAUCAUCAUGAUCUCCAUCAUCGUGUCUUCAUGAAGUUGCCUCGCCAACUAUUACUUCUACUACUAUGGCUAACGGUUAGCAAUAAAGUAAAGUAAUUACAUGACGUUUAAGUUGACACGCAGGUCACAAAUAAAUAAAGACAACUCCUAUGGCUCCUGCCGGUUGUAUACUCAUCGACAUGCAAGUCGUGAUUCCUAUUACAAGAACAUGAUCAAUCUCAUACAUCACAUAUAUCAUUCAUCACAUCCUUUUGGCCAUAUCACAUCACAUAGCAUACCCUGCAAAAACAAGUUAGACGUCCUCUAAUUGUUGUUUGCAUGUUUUACGUGGCUGCUAUGGGUUUCUAGCAAGAACGUUUCUUACCUACGCAUGAACCACAACGUGAUAUGCCAAUUGCUAUUUACCCUUCAUAAGGACCCUUUUCAUCGAAUCCGAUCCGACUAAAGUGGGAGAGACAGACACCCGCCAGCCACCUUAUGCAACUAGUGCAUGUUUGUCGGUGGAACCGGUCUCACGUAAGCGUACGUGUAAGGUUGGUCCGGGCCGCUUCAUCCCACGAUGCCGCCGAAUCAAGAUAAGACUAGUAACGGCAAGCAUAUUGAACAAUAUCGACGCCCACAACUACUUUGUGUUCUACUCAUGCAAAGAAUCUACGCAAUAGACCUAGCUCAUGAUGCCACUGUUGGGGAACGUAGCAGAAAUUCAAAAAAAUUCCUACGUAACACCAAGAUCUAUCUAUGGAGAGACCAGCAACGAGUAGAAAGGGGAGUGCAUCUACAUACCCUUGUAGAUCGCUAAGCGGAAGCGUUCAAGUGAACGGGGUUGAUGGAGUCGUACUCGUCGUGAUUCAGAUCACCGAUGAUCCUAGUGCCGAACGGACAGCACCUCCGCGUUCAACACACGUACAGCUCGACGAUGUCUCCCACGCCUUGAUCCAGCAAGGAGAGAGGGAGAGGUUGAGGAAGACUCCAUCCAGCAGCAGCACAACGGCGUGGUGGUGAUGGAGGAGCGUGGCAAUCCUGCAGGGCUUCGCCAAGCACCUACGGGAGAGGAGGAGGUGUCACGGGAGGGAGGGAGGCGCCAAGGGCUCAGGUAUGGAUGCCCUUAACUUCGUACCUUACAACUCAGGCAAGAACUCCUUUUUUGACUGAUCCAUCUUGAACACCUUCAAGAUCACGUCAAGGCAUGUGCUCAUUUGAAAGUACCAUUAAGCGUUUUGAUCUAUCCUUAUAGAUCUUGAUGCUCAAUGUUCAAGUAGCUUAAUCCAGGUUUUCCAUUGAAAACACUUUCCAAAUAACCCUAUAUGCUUUCCAGAAAUUCUACGUCAUUUCUGAUCAUUAAUAUGUCAACAACAUAUACUCAUCAGAAAUUCUAUAGUGCUCCCACUCACUUCUUUGGAAAUACAAGUUUCUCAUAAACUUUGUAUACACCCUAAAUCUUUGAUCAUCAUCAAAGCAUACAUUCCAACUCCGAGAUGCUCACUCCAGUCCUCAGAAGGAUUGCUGGAGCUUUGCAUACUUAUUAGCAUAUUUCAGGAUAGACAAAACCUUCCGGUUGUAUCACAUACAACCUUUCCUCAAGAAUCGUCGAGGAAACAAUGUUUUGACAUCCUAUCUGCAAGAUUUCAUAAAUAAUGCAGUAAUUGCUAAUAUAAUUCCAACAUACUCUUAGCAUCGCUACGAGUGAGAAAGUCUCAUCGUAGUCAACUCCUUGAACUUGUCGAAAAACAUCUCAACGACAAGUCGACCUUUCUCAAUGGUGACACUUACCAUCAUUGUCUGUCUUCCUUUCAAAAUCCAUAUGUACCUAACAGCCUUAUGACCAUCAAGUAGUUCUUCCAAAGUCUACACUUUGUUUUCAUACAUGGAUCCUCUCUCGGGUUUUAUGGCCUUGAGCCAUUUAUCGGAAUCCAGGCCCACCAUCGCUUCUCCAUAGCUCGUAGGUUCAUUGUUGUCUAGCAACAUGACUUCCAAGACAGGAUUACUGUACCACUCUGAAGUAGUACGUAUCCUUGUCACCCUACGAGGUUUGGGAGUGACUUGAUCUGAAGUUUCAUGAUCACUAUCAUAAGCUUCUACUUCAAUUGGUGUAGGUGCCACAGGAACAACUUCCUGUGCCCUGCUACACACUGGUUGAAGUGAUGGUUCAGUAACCUCAUCAAGUCUCCACCAUCCUCCCACUCAAUUCUUUCGAGAGAAACCUUUCCUCGAGAAAGGACCCAAUUCUAGAAACAAUUCAUAUUGCCUUCGGAUCUGAAUUAGGAGGUAUACCCAACUGUUUUGGGUGUCCUAUGAAGAUGUACUUUAUCCGCUUUGGGUUCGAGCUUAAUCCUGAAACUUUUUCACAUAAGCGUCGCAGCCCCAAACCUUUAAGAAAUGACAACUUAGGUUUCUCUAAACCAUAAUUCAUACGGUGUCAUCUCAUCGGAAUUACGUGGUGCCCUAUUUAAAGUGAAUGUGGUUGUCUUUAAUGCCUAACCCAUAAACUAUCCUGGCAGUUCGAUAAGAGACAUCAUGGUAUGCAUCAUAUCCAAUAGGGUGCAACUAUGAUGUUCGGACACACCAUCACACUAUGGUGUUCCAGGCGGUAUUAAUUGUGAAACAAUUUCCACAAUGUCUUAAUUGUGUGCCAAAACUCGUAACUCAGAUACUCAUCUCUAUGAUCAUAUCAUAGACAUUUUAUCCUCUUGUCACAAUCUUCUACUUCACUCUGAAAUUACUUGAACCAUUCAAUAAUUCAGACUUGUGUUUCAUCAAGUAAAUAUUCUCAACAUCUACUCGAAUCAUCUGUGAAGUAAGAACAUAACGAUAUUCACUGCAUGCCUCAGCACUCAUUGGACUGCACGCAUCAAAAUGUGUUGCUUCCAACAAGUUGCUAUCUUGUUACAUCUUACUGAAAACGAGGCUUUUCAGUCAUCUUGCCCAUGUGGUAUGAUUUGCAUGUCCCAAGUGAUUCAAAAUCAAGUGAGUCAAAACGGUCCAUUUGCAUGGAGUUUCUUCAUGCAUAUACACCAAUAGACAUGGUUCGCAUGUCUCAAACUUUUCAAAAACGAGUGAGCCCAAAGAUCCAUCAAUAUGGAGCUUCUUCAUGCGUUUUAUACCGAUAUGACUUACGUGGCAGUGCCACAAGUAGGUGGUUCUAUCAUUACUAUCUUUUGGCAUGAACAUGUGUAUCACUACGAUCGAGAUUUAAUAAACCAUUCAUUUUAGGUGUAAGACCAUUGAAGGUAUUAUUCAAAUAAACAGAGUAACGAUUAUUCUCCUUAAAUGAAUAACCGUAUUGCGAUAGACGUAAUCCAAUCAUGUCUAUGCUCAACGCAAACACCAAACAACAAUUAUUUAGGUUUAACACCAAUCUCUUUGGUAGAGGGAGCGUGCGAUGCUUGAUCAUAUGAAGCUUGGAAAAACUUCCAACACAUAUCGUCAGCUCACCUUUAGCUAGUCUCCGUUUAUUCCGUAGCCUUUUGUUUCGAGUUACUAACACUUAGCAACCGAACCGGUAUCUAAUACCCUGGUGCUACUAGGAGUACUAGCAAAGUACACAUUAACACAAUGUAUAUCCAAUAUACUUCUAUCGACCUUGCCAGCCUUCUUAUCUACCAAGUAUCUAGGGUAAUUCUGCUCUAGUGGUUGUUCCCCUUAUUACAGAAGCACUUAGUCUCGGGUUUGGGUUUUACCUUGGGUUUCUUCACUAGAGCAGCAACUGAUUUGCCGUUUCAUGAAGUAUCCCUUCUUGCCCUUGCCCUUCUUGAAACUAGUGGUUCCACCAACCAUCAACAAUUGAUGCUCCUUCUUGAUUUCUACUUUCGCGGUGUCAAACAUCGCGAAUACCUCAAGGAUCAUCAUAUCUAUCCCUGAUAUGUUAUAGUUCAUCACGAAGCUCUAACAGCUUGGUGGCAAUGACUUUGGAGAACCAUCACUGUCUUAUCUGGAAGAUCAACUCCCACUCGAUUCAAAUGAUUGUUGUACUCAGACAAUCUGAGCACAAGCUCAACAAUUGAGCUUUUCUCCUUAGUUCGCAGGUUAAGAAAGUCAUCGGAGGUCUUAUACCUCUUGACAUGGGCACGAGCCUGAAAUACCAAUUUCAGCCCUCAAAACAUCUCAUAUGUUUCGCGAUGUUUCAAAAACGUCUUUGGUGCCUCAACUCUAAACCGUUUAACUGAACUAUCACGUAGUUAUCAAAACGUGUAUGUCAGAUGUUCGCAACAACCACAGACAACGUUCGAGGUUCAGCACACUGAGCGGUGCAUUAAGGACAUAAGCCUUCUAUGAAGCAAUGAGGACAAUCCUCAGUUUACGGACCUAGUCCGCAUAAUUGCUACUAUCAACUUUCAACUAAUUUUUCUCUAGGAACAUAUCUAAACAGUAGAACUAUAGCGUGAGCUACGACAUAAUUUGCAAAAACCUUUUGACUAUGUUCAGGAUAAUUAAGUUCAUCUUAUGAACUCCCACUUAGAUAGACAUCCCUCUAGUCAUCUAAGUGAUUACAUGAUCUGAGUCAAACUAGGCCGUGUCCGAUCAUCACGUGAGACAGACUAGUCAUCAUCGGUGAACAUCUUCAUGUUGAUCGUAUCUUCUAUACGACUCAUGUUCGACCUUUCGGUCUCCGUGUUCCGAGGCCAUGUCUGUACAUGCUAGGCUCGUCAAGUUAACCCUAAGUGUUUCGCGUGUGUAAAUCUGUCUUACACCCGUUGUAUGUGAACGUUAGAAUCUAACACCCGAUCAUCACGUGGUGCUUCGAAACACGAACUGUCGCAACGGUGCACAGUUAGGGGAGAACACUUCUUGAAAUUGUUGUAAGGGAUCAUCUUAUUUACUACCGUCGUUCUAAGCAAAUAAGAUGUAUAAACAUGAUAAACAUCACAUGCAAUCAAAUAGUGACAUGAUAUGGCCAUCAUCACUUUGCUCCUUUUGAUCUCCAUCUUCGGGGCUCCAUGAUCAUCAUCGUCACCGGCAUGACACCAUGAUCUCCAUCAUCAUGAUCUCCAUCAUUGUGUCUUCAUGAAGUUGCCUCGCCAACUAUUACUUCUACUACUAUGGCUAACGGUUAGCAAUAAAGUAAAGUAAUUACAUGACGUUUAAGUUGACACGCAGGUCACAAAUAAAUAAAGACAACUCCUAUGGCUCCUGCCGGUUGUCAUACUCAUCGACAUGCAAGUCGUGAUUCCUAUUACAAGAACAUGAUCAAUCUCAUACAUCACAUAUAUCAUUCAUCACAUCCUUUUUGGCCAUAUCACAUCACAUAGCAUACCCUGCAAAAACAAGUUAGACGUCCUCUAAUUGUUGUUUGCAUGUUUUACGUGGCUGCUAUGGGUUUCUAGCAAGAACGUUUCUUACCUACGCAUGAACCACAACGUGAUAUGCCAAUUUCUAUUUACCCUUCAUAAGGACCCUUUUCAUCGAAUCCGAUCCGACUAAAGUGGGAGAGACAAACACCCGCCAGCCACCUUAUGCAACUAGUGCAUGUUUGUCGGUGGAACCGGUCUCACGUAAGCGUACGUGUAAGGUUGGUCCGAGCCGCUUCAUCCCACGAUGCCGCCGAAUCAAGAUAAGACUAGUAACGGCAAGCAUAUUGAACAAUAUCGACGCCCACAACUACUUUGUGUUCUACUCGUGCAAAGAAUCUACGCAAUAGACCUAGCUCAUGAUGCCACUGUUGGGGAACGUAGCAGAAAUUCAAAAUUUUCCUAUGCGUCACCAAGAUCUAUCUAUGGAGAAACCAGCAACGAGUAGAAAGAGAGUGCAUCUACAUACCCUUGUAGAUCGCUAAGCGGAAGCGUUCAAGUGAACGGGGUUGAUGGAGUCGUACUCGUCGUGAUUCAGAUCACCGAUGAUCCUAGUGCCGAACGGACGGCACCUCCGCGUUCAACACACGUACAGCUCGACGAUGUCUCCCACGCCUUGAUCCAGCAAGGAGAGAGGGAGAGGUUGAGGAAGACUCCAUCCAGCAGCAGCACAACGGCGUGGUGGUGAUGGAGGAGCGUGGCAAUCCUGCAGGGCUUCGCCAAGCACCUACGGGAGAGGAGGAGGUGUCACGGGAGGGAGGGAGGCGCCAAGGGCUCAGGUAUGGAUGCCCUCCCUCCCCUCCACUAUAUAUAGGGGCAGGGGAGAGGGGGAAGGCGCAGCCUUGCCCCUUCCUCCAAGGAANNNNNNNNNNAGACGUCCUCUAAUUGUUGUUUGCAUGUUUUACGUGGCUGCUAUGGGUUUCUAGCAAGAACGUUUCUUACCUACGCAUGAACCACAACGUGAUAUGCCAAUUUCUAUUUACCCUUCAUAAGGACCCUUUUCAUCGAAUCCGAUCCGACUAAAGUGGGAGAGACAGACACCCGCCAGCCACCUUAUGCAACUAGUGCAUGUUUGUCGGUGGAACCGGUCUCACGUAAGCGUACGUGUAAGGUUGGUCCGGGCCGCUUCAUCCCACGAUGCCGCCGAAUCAAGAUAAGACUAGUAACGGCAAGCAUAUUGAACAAUAUCGACGCCCACAACUACUUUGUGUUCUACUCGUGCAAAGAAUCUACGCAAUAGACCUAGCUCAUGAUGCCACUGUUGGGGAACGUAGCAGAAAUUCAAAAAAUUUCCUACGUAUCACCAAGAUCUAUCUAUGGAGAGACCAGCAACGAGUAGAAAGGAGAGUGCAUCUACAUACCCUUCUAGAUCGCUAAGCGGAAGCGUUCAAGUGAACGGGGUUGAUGGAGUCGUACUCGUCGUGAUUCAGAUCACCGAUGAUCCUAGUGCCGAACGGACGGCACCUCCGCGUUCAACACACGUACAGCUCGACGAUGUCUCCCACGCCUUGAUCCAGCAAUGAGAGAGGGAGAGGUUGAGGAAGACUCCAUCCAGCAGCAGCACAACGGCGUGGUAGUGAUGGAGGAGCGUGGCAAUCCUGCAGGGCUUCGCCGAGCACCUACGGGAGAGGAGAUGUGUCACGGGAGGGAGAGGGAGGCAACCAAAGGCCUUAGGUAUGAUUGCUCCUCCUUUUCCCCACUAUAUAUAGGGCCAAGGGAGAGGGGGAGGGCGCAGCCUUGCCCCCUCCUCCAAGGAAGGGGUGCGGCUAAGGAUGGGGAGGAGUCCAUCCUCCCCAAGGCACCUCGGAGGUGCCUUCCCCUUUGAGGACUCUUCCCUCCCCAAGUUUCCUUGCGCAUGGGCCUCUUGGGGCUGGUUCCCUUGGCCCAUGUAGGCCAAGGCGCACCCCCUACAGCCCAUGUGGCCCCCGGGGCAGGUGGCCCCACCCGGUGGGCCCCCGGGACCCUUCCAGUGGUCCCGGUACAAUACCGAUGACCCCGAAACUUGUCCCGAUGGCCGAAACAGGACUUCCUAUAUAUAAAUCUUUACCUCCGGACCAUUCCGGAACUCCUCGUGACGUCCGGGAUCUCAUCCGGGACUCCGAACAACAUUCGGUAACCACAUACAAACUUCCUUUAUAACCCUAGCGUCAUCGAACCUUAAGUGUGUAGACCCUACGGGUUCGGGAGACAUGUAGUCAUGACCGAGAUGUUCUUCGGUCAAUAACCAACAGCGGGAUCUGGAUACCCAUGUUGGCUCCCACAUGUUCCACGAUGAUCUCAUCGGAUGAACCACGAUGUCAAGGACUCAAUCGAUCCCGUAUACAAUUCCCUUUGUCUAGCGGUAUGGUACUUGCCCGAGAUUCGAUCGUCGGUAUACCGAUACCUUGUUCAAUCUCGUUACCGGCAAGUCUCUUUACUNNNNNNNNNNUGGAGUCGUACUCGUCGUGAUUCAGAUCACCGAUGAUCCUAGUGCCGAACGGACGGCACCUCCGCGUUCAACACACGUACAGCUCGACGAUGUCUCCCACGCCUUGAUCCAGCAAGGAGAGAGGGAGAGGUUGAGGAAGACUCCAUCCAGCAGCAGCACAACGGCGUGGUGGUGAUGGAGGAGCGUGGCAAUCCUGCAGGGCUUCGCCAAGCACCUACGGGAGAGGAGGAGGUGUCACGGGAGGGAGGGAGGCGCCAAGGGCUCAGGUAUGGAUGCCCUCCCUCCCCUCCACUAUAUAUAGGGGCAGGGGAGAGGGGGAAGGCGCAGCCUUGCCCCUUCCUCCAAGGAAGGGGUGCGGCUAAGAGGGGGGGAGGAGUCCAUCCUCCCCAAGGCACCUCGGAGGUGCCUUCCCCCUUGAGGACUCUUCCCUCUAGGGUUCCCUAGGCGCAUGGGCCUCUUGGGGCUGGUGCCCUUGGCCCAUGUAGGCCAAGGCGCACCCCCUACAGCCCAUGUGGCCCCCUGGGGCAGGUGGCCCCACCCGGUGGGCCCCCGGGACCCUUCCGGUGGUCCCGGUACAAUACCGAUGACCCCGAAACUUGUCCCGAUGGCCGAAACAGGACUUCCUAUAUAUAAAUCUUUACCUCCGGACCAUUCCGGAACUCCUCGUGACGUCCGGGAUCUCAUCCGGGACUCCAAACAACAUUCGGUAACCACAUACAAACUUCCUUUAUAACCCUAGCAUCAUCGAACCUUAAGUGUGUAGACCCUACGGGUUCGGGAGACAUGUAGUCAUGACCGAGAUGUUCUCCGGUCAAUAACCAACAGCGGGAUGUGGAUACCCAUGUUGGCUCCCACAUGUUCCACGAUGAUCUCAUCGGAUGAACCACGAUGUCAAGGACUCAAUCAAUCCCGUAUACAAUUCCCUUUGUCUAGCGGUAUGGUACUUGCCCGAGAUUCGAUCGUCGGUAUACCGAUACCUUGUUCAAUCUCGUUACCGGCAAGUCUCUUUACUCGUUCCGUAACACAUCAUCCCGUGAUCAACCCCUUGGUCACAUUGUGCACAUUAUGAUGAUGUCCUACCGAGUGGGCCCAGAGAUACCUCUCCGUUUACACGGAGUGACAAAAUCCCAAUCUCGAUUCGUGCCAACCCAACAGACACUUUCAGAGAUACCCGCAGUGUACCUUUAUAGCCACCCAGUUACGUUGUGACGUUUGGCACACCCAAAGCACUCCUACGGUAUCCGGGAGUUGCACAAUCUCAUGGUCUAAGGAAAUGAUACUUGACAUUAGAAAAGCUUUAGCAUACGAACUACAUGAUCUUGUGCUAGGCUUAGGAUUGGGUCUUGUCCAUCACAUCAUUCUCCUAAUGAUGUGAUCCCGUUAUCAACGACAUCCAAUGUCCAUGGUCAGGAAACCGUAACCAUCUAUUGAUUAACGAGCUAGUCAACUAGAGGCUUACUAGGGACAUGGUGUUGUCUAUGUAUCCACACAUGUAUCUGAGUUUCCUAUCAAUACAAUUCUAGCAUGGAUAAUAAACGAUUAUCAUGAACAAGGAAAUAUAAUAAUAAUCAAUUUAUUAUUGCCUCUAGGGCAUAUUUCCAACAGACGGCACCUCCGCGUUCAACACACGUACAGCCCGGUGACAUCUCCCACGCCUUGAUCCAGCAAGGAGAGAGGGAGAGGUUAAGGAAGACUCCAUCCAACAGCAGCACAACGGCGUGGUGGUGGUGGAGGAGCGUGGCAAUCCAGCAGGGCUUCGCCAAGCACCAUGGGAGAGGAGGAGUAGGAAGAGAGGUAGGGCUGUGCCAGAACUUCGUGUAUAGCUCCCAUGCGCCUCCCCACUAUAUAUAGGGGUGGAAGGGCUGGUUUCUUGCCCUCCAAGUCCAUUGGGGCGUUGGCCAAGGUGGGAGGAAAGAAAUCUCAUUAUUUCCUUCCCCACCGAUUGUUAUCCCCCCUUUUUAGGGAUCUUGAUCUUAUCCCUUCGGGAUAUGAUCUUAUUCCUUCUAAGGGGGGAUCUUGGUGCGCCUUGACCAGGGGUGUGGGGCCUUGCCCCCACUACCCACGUCCAUGUGGGUCCCCCCAUGCAGGUGGGCCCCACUCCGGAACCUUCUAGAACCUUCCCGGUACAAUACCGAAAAAUCCCGAACAUUUUCCGGUGGCCAAAAUAGGACUUCCCAUAUAUAAAUCUUUACCUUCGGACCAUUCCGGAACUCCUUGUGACGUCCGGGAUCUCAUCCGGGACUCCGAACAACAUUCGGUAACCACAUACAAACUUCCUUUAUAACCCUAGCGUCAUCGAACCUUAAGUGUGUAGACCCUACGGGUUCGGGAGACAUGUAGACAUGACCGAGACGUUCUCCGGUCAAUAACCAACAGCGGGAUCUGGAUACCCAUGAUGUCUCCCACAUGUUCCACUAUGAUCUCAUCGGAUGAACCACGAUGUCAAGGACUUAAUCAAUCCCGUAUUCAAUUCCCUUUGUCUAUCGGUAUGUUACUUGCCCGAGAUUCGAUCGUCGGUAUCCAAUACCUUGUUCAAUCUCGUUACCGGCAAGUCACUUUACUCGUUCCGUAACACAUCAUCCCUGAUCAACUCCUUGGUCACAUUGCGCAUAUGAUGAUGUCCUACCGAGUGGGCCCAGAGAUACCUCUCCGUUUACAUGGAGUGACAAAUCCCAGUCUCGAUCCGCAUAAAACAAUAGAUACUUUCGGAGAUACCUGUAGUGCACCUUUAUAGUCACCCAGUUACGUUGUGACGUUUGAUACACCCAAAGCACUCCUACGGUAUCCAGGAGUUACACGCUCUCAUGGUCGAAGGAAGAGAUACUUGACAUUGGCAAAGCUCUAGCAAAUGAACUACACGAUCUUUUGUGCUAGUCUUAGGAUUGGGUCUUGUCCAUCACAUCAUUCUCCUAAUGAUGUGAUCCCGUUAUCAACGACAUCCAAUGUCCAUAGCCAGGAAACCAUGACUAUCUGUUGAUCACAACGAGCUAGUCAACUAGAGGCUCACUAGGGACAUAUUGUGGUCUAUGUAUUCACACGUGUAUUACGAUUUCCGGAUAAUACAGUUAUAGCAUGAAUAAAAGACAAUUAUCAUGAACAAGGAAAUAUAAUAACAAUACUUUUAUUAUUGCCUCUAGGGCAUAUUUCCAACAAUGUCAACAUUUCAUCUGCCGGGUUCUGAAAUUGGAUAACUACAUCAACCUAGUAAAUGUUGCCUCUUCAAUACCAGGAAUGGUGUUGUGUCCUACUCUUUUCAAAGUGCUUUGAAGUCUAUUAUCAUUAGUGAUCGUAGUCUUGUGCACUUCCUUCUUUUUCCUAUCAUCAGUGGAAGGAAAACUAAGUAUAACAAGCAGAGAAAGGUUUCAUAUUUCUGUACUCUAAGCUGACAUGCGUACACUAAAUGGCAUUCACUAAAAGAUCAAUUUCAAAAUGUGAAAAUAGCAUGCUUGGAUGAUAAUCAGUAUGCAUAGCUAGCACGCUUCAAAUUUGGCAUUUCUACACAGGGUAUAAGCAAUGGUUCACAAGGCCCACAAAUUACUGAUUAUGAGGAAAUAUUUCAGGUCUGAGACAAACUAUUUACACAGGUAAAAUGAAUACAUGUAGAACAUAUAAUGUGUUGAAAGCGGGAAAUGCUACUGCUUGUAGCAAAACCAAUGACACUACCUAUGGAUGACAGGGUACCAUAGAAAGCACAUGUGCACGCUGCCCUUGCCUCCGGCACAGGGCACCGGCCAUCUUCUUCAGCUUGUCAAUACUCAUAUUACAAUAGUCAUCCAAUCUCCUAUAUGAACCAACAAAUUAGUUUUGCCUCCAUAACAAAACUUUCUAAAGUGUCUAAUGUUUCUCUUCCUCUUAAUCUUCAGUUCUAUAAAAAGCUCAUCUAUCAAUCUACAGCAAAACAGAGGGAAAAGGACAAUUGCAUGAUCAGAUCCAUAACGAAACUUGUUGACCUGCGCCUAAUGUUUCUCUUCCUCUUAAUCUUUAGUUGUACACAAAGUGCAUCGCCCAAUAUACAAAAAAUAGGAAAAAAAGACAAUUGAAUGAUCAGAUAAGAAUGCAGUUACAUGGGACCAACAUAAAUCCUUUGUUCUAAUGGGCUGAAAACAAUAACAGAUAAAGUACAAGUCGACCAAAAUGUGAAAUCUAUCAAAAGAGCAAAUGAGAUUAUAUAGUACACUGAAACACAACGUACCAACUCAAAUUUAUGAGUGUUUAUGCACAUAGAGCAUAUUGUUGCCCACUAUAGAGAAUGAAAACAAAGAUGUACACCAAGACAUUAAAGAGUUAAAUAGAAAUAAUAUACUGUCAAAAUGAUCCUGCAAAAUCAGUAUACAAAUUCUAGAAUUAAUCACAUAGAUACUAUAUUAGUGUUGAUCCUAAUUUGCAUUACAACUAACAUGUCAAGUACAGGUAGAGGAAAUAAUGUCCUGCUGAUAGGUUCUGUG
rnacentral:lncRNA from 1 species